GAAUCAGACUAGGCAGCACUGGGUAGGAAACAAGAAGUCUGAAAAUCAGCCUCAACAGGUUCGAGAGCCAAACUAAACACUCGUUCAUGGUUAAACAUUUCUGGCUUUGCAGUUGGAAUGCGACUUAUGAAAGUUUACUUGGAAGCACGAAGCCGUUCCCUCAGCCUAUCCCUUUCCGAUAUGAUAGAUUUUCUUGUGGACGUCUGGGAGCAGGAAGGGUUGUAUGAUUGAACAACUCCAUAACUGGCUUUUGGAAGAUGAUUACAUAUUAAUAUCCAUCUUACUUUUGUAACAUUUUAAUUUGUCCGAUAGGGAAAACGCAUCAAGCCUCAUUUGUACGUAACUCUUACCAAUUUCAGGGUCUUGCUUGCCUUCGGUUUCA